UAAAAUUUUAUUAUGACUCUGAAGUGAAAUUUUGAUGGCACAAUUCAUGACUGUGAAUAUUUUGUGAAUUCCAAGUGAAAUGAGCAAAACAAAACAAUAGGAGAUUAGAUUCACUGAGCUUAUAUAAUAAACAGACAUAAAUAAAUGCCCAUAAAAUUUACAGGUUGAAUCUGGGGGACUGGAGAGUGAUCCCAUUAAGGCUCACAAAUGGGUUUAAAUGCACAUAACUUUCAUCCAUCAGCAUUAUACUCAUUUGUUCUUGCUGCUGUGGUCAUUAGUGAGAAGCAUUUAUCUUUGUCAUUUCUUAACAGCCUCUGGACUUUGAGACCAAAAAAUCCUAUACGCUAAAGGUAGAGGCAGCCAAUGUCCAUAUUGACCCACGCUUCAGUGGCAGGGGGCCCUUUAAAGACACGGCGACAGUCAAAAUCGUGGUUGAAGAUGCUGAUGAGCCUCCGGUCUUCUCUUCACCGACUUACCUACUUGAAGUUCAUGAAAAUGCUGCUCUAAACUCCGUGAUUGGGCAAGUGACUGCUCGUGACCCUGAUAUCACUUCCAGUCCUAUAAGGUUUUCC
rnacentral:lncRNA from 1 species